CAUAAACCAUGCCUGCCAGCGAUCCGCCGGCGUUCCUCCGAUGACCCGGCGGGCAGCUUCCGGGAAACCAGAGCUUUUGGGUUCCGGGGGAAGUAUGGUUGCAAAGCUGAAACUUAAAGGAAUUGACGGAAGGGCACCACCAGGAGUGGAGCCUGCGGCUUAAUUUGACUCAACACGGGAAAACUCACCAGGCCCGGACACCGGAAGGAUUGACAGAUUGAGAGCUCUUUCUUGAUUCGGUGGGUGGUGGUGCAUGGCCGUUCUUAGUUGGUGGAGCGAUUUGUCUGGUUAAUUCCGAUAACGAACGAGACUCUAUCCUAUUAAAUAGACGCAUCCGGUAUCCGCAAUCGUGCUACCGGCGAGUAAAUUUCUUCUUAGAGGUACGGGCGGCUGCUAGCCGCACGAUACUGGGCAAUAACAGGUCUGUGAUGCCCUUAGAUGUCCUGGGCCGCACGCGCGCUACACUGAAGGAAUCAGCGUGUCUUCCCUGUCCGUGAGGACCGGGUAACCCGCUGAACCUCCUUCGUGAUAGGGAUUGGGGCUUGAAACUGUUCCCCAUGAACGAGGAAUUCCCAGUAAGCGCGAGUCAUAAGCUCGCGUUGAUUACGUCCCUGCCCUUUGUACACACCGCCCGUCGCUACUACCGAUUGAAUGAUUUAGUGAGGUCUUCGGACUGGCGCGCGGAGUCGGCUUCGUCGCCUCCGAUGUCGUCGGAAAGAUGACCAAACUUGAUCAUUUAGAGGAAGUAAAAGUCGUAACAA
rnacentral:rRNA from 1 species